CAACUUUCAACAACGGAUCUCUUGGCUCUUGCAUCGAUGAAGAACGCAGCGAAAUGCGAUAAGUAAUGUGAAUUGCAGAAUCCAGUGAAUCAUCGAAUCUUUGAACGCACCUUGCGCCCUUUGGUAUUCCGAGGGGCAUGCCUGUUUGAGAGUCAUUA
rnacentral:rRNA from 1 species